UACGGAGGGUGCAAGCGUUAUCCGGAUUCACUGGGUUUAAAGGGUGCGUAGGCGGGCAGGUAAGUCAGUGGUGAAAUCUCCGGGCUUAACCCGGAAACUGCCGUUGAUACUAUCUGUCUUGAAUAUUGUGGAGGUAAGCGGAAUAUGUCAUGUAGCGGUGGAAUGCUUAGAUAUGACAUAGAACGCCAAUUGCGAAGGCAGCUUACUACACAGUUAUUGACGCUGAGGCACGAAAGCGUGGGGAUCAAACAGG
rnacentral:rRNA from 1 species